rnacentral:rRNA from 1 species
AGUGAACGCUGGCGGUAGGCCUAACACAUGCAAGUCGAACGGCAGCACAGUAAGAGCUUGCUCUUACGGGUGGCGAGUGGCGGACGGGUGAGGAAUACAUCGGAAUCUACUUUUUCGUGGGGGAUAACGUAGGGAAACUUACGCUAAUACCGCAUACGACCUACGGGUGAAAGCAGGGGAUCCUCGGACCUUGCGCGAUUGAAUGAGCCGAUGUCGGAUUAGCUAGUUGGCGGGGUAAAGGCCCACCAAGGCGACGAUCCGUAGCUGGUCUGGGAGGAUGAUCAGCCACACUGGAACUGAGACACGGUCCAGACUCCUACGGGAGGCAGCAGUGGGGAAUAUUGGACAAUGGGCGCAAGCCUGAUCCAGCCAUACCGCGUGGGUGAAGAAGGCCUUCGGGUUGUAAAGCCCUUUUGUUGGGAAAGAAAAGCAGCAGGUUAAUACCCCGCUGUUCUGACGGUACCCAAAGAAUAAGCACCGGCUAACUUCGUG